CUCCCCCGCGGCCCGCGCUCAUAUCCCUGUCGGCCAUAGUCACAUUACCACGGCCGCCGGUGCAUUAGUACAUUUUUACAGAAAAAAGACAUAGGGACUAGGGGGUUGUAAAAUGUAUACAUAAAUAACUUGUUUUGGCUGUUAAACGUAUCUUUAGGCACGUAAAAAGUAAGUAAAUCACUCUAGAAAUCUGAAGAAUGCUUACUCAGCAAAACCAUCAGUUUGAGUUUGGAGAAGAAAUUUCAAAGAAGGCGUCUUGUGAGAACGUGAAGACAUAAACCACUGCAGUGAGGCUUGACAUGAUUAUUCCUCAUUCAUUGCCUGGUAAUACAGUGGAGGAACUUUGUAAGACUGUCUGCCAGCCUGCCACCCUUCCCAGCCCUCACCCAAAUACAUCACAAGAUCAAGGACUAGACGAGAGUGCCUUGCGAAUCCCACUGAUGUGCUUUUUGCGCCUGACCAGCCAGCCUGCCACUCUGCCCAGCCCUCACACAAAACAAUCACAAGAUCAAGAAUGAGCUCCUGCUGUUGACGGACCUCCACCAGGCUGUGCAGUGACUGCUGACCAAUAAGGGUUAAAAGGACGGGUAGAGAAGUGGAGGUGGACAUGGAGCCCUUUGUGUUCGACUUCGAAAUACAAGAGGACAUGGAGGACUUC